AUCAUCAAAUGGUAGUUGGUUUUCUCCUUAUCGGAGGGCUCCAAUUUCCCAAUGAUCUGUGCAAUGUGGACCAACUAGUCGUGGUCUUUUACUUGGAGACUAAGAAUCCAGUUAACCCCCUUGUGGGUGCCGCUGGUAGCUCCAAUGGUAUUUCGGUACCAAACUUUUAUAUAUACUAUUUUGUCAGAUAUGAAAACUGAGGUUUUUGGUCUUAAUUGACUAUCCUCUUUUAACUGUAGUUUUACUACAAAAACAACUUUUAGCAAUGGAUCUCUUGGUUUCCGCAUCGAUGAAGAGCGUAGCAAAUUGCGAUAACUAGUGCGAAUUGCAGACUUUGUGAAUCAUCGAGUUCUUGAACGCAUCUUGCACCUAGUGGUUUAUUCUACUAGGUACGGUUGCUUCAGUAUCACGAAACUCACCAACUCAACCUUUUGGGGUUGAAGAUGGAGCUGGACUUGCUAGGAUCGUUUUACGGUCUUGGUAGUCUGAAAUAGAGUAUACCAAAUGUCUUUUUGACCUUGUUUCAAAGAGAUUGGACUAUAAAGUGUACCUAGGUUCGGUAUGAUUUACCUAGUGUCGUCUGAUCUUUGGAGGUUAAUGUGAUUGGGAUUUUGGU
rnacentral:misc_RNA from 1 species